rnacentral:rRNA from 1 species
GAUCAUGGCUCAGGAUGAACGCUAGCUACAGGCUUAACACAUGCAAGUCGAGGGGCAGCAUGGUCUUAGCUUGCUAAGGCUGAUGGCGACCGGCGCACGGGGUGAGUAACACGUAUCCAACCGUGCCGUCUACUCUUGGCCAGCCUUCUGAAAAGGAAGAUUAAUCCAGGAUGGCAUCAUGAGUUCACAUGUCCGCACGAUUAAAGGUAUUUUCCGGUAGACGAUGGGG